rnacentral:rRNA from 1 species
UGGGGAAUAUUGCACAAUGGGCGAAAGCCUGAUGCAGCGACGCCGCGUGAGGGAUGACGGCCUUCGGGUUGUAAACCUCUUUCAGUAGGGACGAAGCGCAAGUGACGGUACCUGCAGAGGCAGCACCGGCUAACUACGUGCCAGCAGCCGCGGUAAUACGUAGGGUGCGAGCGUUGUCCGGAUUUACUGGGCGUAAAGAGCUCGUAGGCGGUUUGUCACGUCGUCUGUGAAAUCCUAGGGCUUAACCCUGGACGUGCAGGCGAUACGGGCUGACUUGAGUACUACAGGGGAGACUGGAGUUUCUGGUGUAGCGGUGGAAUGCACAGAUAUCAGGAAGAACACCGAUGGCGAAGGCAGGUCUCUGUGUAGUAACUAACGCUGAGGAGCGAAAGAAUGGGUAGCGAACAGG